rnacentral:SRP_RNA from 2 species
GCUGGGCGUGGUGGCUCAUACCUGUAAUCCCAGCACUUUGGGAGGCUGAGAUGGGAGGAUUGCCUGAGCCCAGGAGUUCAAGACCAGCCUGGGCAACAUGGUGAGACCCCGUCUCUA